UCUCACGGUCACUCCUUCAUAUUUUUUUACUUUAGUAUGAGUCAGUUUCAUAUGACCAUGACUCACUUCUUAAAACCUGUUUAUACAGAAAUGUGUCUGCCUUCUCUUUUUAUGUGACGCGUUCCACGUUUUGUACCCGUGCUUGUGCUUGUGCAUGAACUGUACCGUGCCUAAGCACACCUCUCUGAAGCGUGCCAAAGCCAAGGAAGUUUUUUUAGUUUCACUUCUCAUUUGAUAAUUUGCACUUGAAAUAUCAGUUUCAGUAUGAUCAUUGCCUCUUUUAAUGUGACCUUUCCCUAUGAUGGCUAUUAGUGGCACCUUGAUAUGACUCCUGAAACCAUUUUAUAUCUUUGGCGCUUGAACUUUUUACGUUUUAAAGAGCUGAGCAUAAACUAAAUAUCCUUUUUCUUUC